UACGUAGGGGGCAAGCGUUGUCCGGAUUUAUUGGGCGUAAAGCGCGUGUAGGCGGCUAGGUAGGUCCGCUGUGAAAACUUGAGGCUCAACCUCAAGAGGUCGGUGGAAACCAUCUAGCUAGAGUCCGGAAGAGGAGAAUGGAAUUCCUGGUGUAGCGGUGAAAUGCGCAGAUAUCAGGAAGAACACCCGUGGCGAAGGCGGUUCUCUGGGACGGUACUGACGCUGAGACGCGAAAGCGUGGGGAGCGAACAGG
rnacentral:rRNA from 1 species